GGGGGCGUAAAGGUUUCGACGGGGAUCUUGAAGCAUGAUAAGCGAGUCGGGAAGCGAAAAUCCCGUAAAAAGGCGCACGUUUUAAAAUUAGACGACAACGAUAAUUUUGCUUUAGCUGCUGCUUAAGUCAGCGCUCGUCUUGCCCGUGAGUACCACGGCUCGGGUAAAGGCGUCGAUCAGUGGUGAACGUCAGCGGACGAUGGCUGUAGUCCGUUGAUGUAUGACAGCCUACCGACCUCCGCUGCGUGCUUGUUUGCGGCGUUGGGAGGGAAUUGGCUUAGUUCGGAGACUGUGCCGAAAUAACAAGCUACACUCGUAGAAAUUCGUGGGGAUGGGUUUUCGGACAGGGGUUCGACUCCCCUCGCCUCCACCA
rfam:Ruminococcus sp. YE71 genome assembly, contig: IE40DRAFT_scaffold00001.1